rnacentral:rRNA from 1 species
GAUGAACGCUGGCGGCGUGCCUAAUACAUGCAAGUAGAACGCUGAAGGAGGGGCUUGCUCUUCUGGAUGAGUUGCGAACGGGUGAGUAACGCGUAGGUAACCUGCCUGGUAGCGGGGGAUAACUAUUGGAAACGAUAGCUAAUACCGCAUGACAACAGUUAUUGCAUGAUAACUGUUUAAAAGGGGCAACUGCUCCACUACCAGAUGGACCUGCGUUGUAUUAGCUAGUUGGUGAGGUAACGGCUCACCAAGGCGACGAUACAUAGCCGACCUGAGAGGGUGAUCGGCCACACUGGGACUGAGACACGGCCCAGACUCCUACGGGAGGCAGCAGUAGGGAAUCUUCGGCAAUGGACGGAAGUCUGACCGAGCAACGCCGCGUGAGUGAAGAAGGUUUUCGGAUCGUAAAGCUCUGUUGUAAGAGAAGAACGAGUGUGAGAGUGGAAAGUUCACACUGUGACGGUAUCUUACCAGAAAGGGACGGCUAACUACGUG